AGUCGAGCGGACAGAAGGGAGCUUGCUCCCGGAUGUUAGCGGCGGACGGGUGAGUAACACGUGGGUAACCUGCCUGUAAGACUGGGAUAACUCCGGGAAACCGGAGCUAAUACCGGAUAGUUCCUUGAACCGCAGGUUCAAGGAUGAAAGACGGUUUCGGCUGUCACUUACAGAUGGACCCGCGGCGCAUUAGCUAGUUGGUGGGGUAAUGGCUCACCAAGGCGACGAUGCGUAGCCGACCUGAGAGGGUGAUCGGCCACACUGGGACUGAGACACGGCCCAGACUCCUACGGGAGGCAGCAGUAGGGAAUCUUCCGCAAUGGACGAAAGUCUGACGGAGCAACGCCGCGUGAGUGAUGAAGGUUUUCGGAUCGUAAAGCUCUGUUGUUAGGGAAGAACAAGUGCGAGAGUAACUGCUCGCACCUUGACGGUACCUAACCAGAAAGCCACGGCUAACUACGUGCCAGCAGCCGCGGUAAUACGUAGGUGGCAAGCGUUGUCCGGAAUUAUUGGGCGUAAAGGGCUCGCAGGCGGUUUCUUAAGUCUGAUGUGAAAGCCCCCGGCUCAACCGGGGAGGGUCAUUGGAAACUGGGAAACUUGAGUGCAGAAGAGGAGAGUGGAAUUCCACGUGUAGCGGUGAAAUGCGUAGAGAUGUGGAGGAACACCAGUGGCGAAGGCGACUCUCUGGUCUGUAACUGACGCUGAGGAGCGAAAGCGUGGGGAGCGAACAGGAUUAGAUACCCUGGUAGUCCACGCCGUAAACGAUGAGUGCUAAGUGUUAGGGGGUUUCCGCCCCUUAGUGCUGCAGCUAA
rnacentral:rRNA from 2 species